rnacentral:rRNA from 1 species
AUGUGGUUCGUCUCCUUUGUUGGGAGGAUGCUCUUCGCCUCCGUCUUCAUCCUCCCCGCCUACCAGGAGUACGCUCUCCUACCCCCGCCUCCCGGGACCGAUGCACCGCUCUGCGGUGGAGCCAGGCCCCUAGCUCCUGGUCGUCGGUGCGAUGCCCGAGGGUUGGUUUGUGCGUGUGAAUGUGGUGAGAUCCGGCCGGGCGGCGCCUUGGUCUGUCCUGUCGCGGUAGAUCUCGCUGGUGUAGGGUAG